CUUGCUUUCUUUGCUGGCGACCGGCGCACGGGUGAGUAACACGUACCCAACCUGCCCUUUACUCGGGGAUAGCCUUUCGAAAGAAAGAUUAAUACCCGAUAGUAUAAUGAUUCCGCAUGGUUUCAUUAUUAAAGGAUUCCGGUAAAGGAUGGGGAUGCGUUCCAUUAGGUUGUUGGUGAGGUAACGGCUCACCAAGCCUUCGAUGGAUAGGGGUUCUGAGAGGAAGGUCCCCCACACUGGAACUGAGACACGGUCCAA
rnacentral:rRNA from 1 species